rnacentral:rRNA from 1 species
GACAGGUGCUGCAUGGCUGUCGUCAGCUCGUGUCGUGAGAUGUUGGGUUAAGUCCCGCAACGAGCGCAACCCUUGCUUUAGUUGCCAUCAUUAAGUUGGGCACUCUAAAGAGACUGCCGGUGUCAAGCCGGAGGAAGGUGGGGAUGACGUCAAGUCCUCAUGGCCUUUAUGACCAGGGCUACACACGUACUACAAUGGCAGGUACAAAGGGCAGCCACUUAGCGAUAAGGCGCGAAUCCCGUAAAACCUGUCUCAGUCCGGAUUGGAGUCUGCAACUCGACUCCAUGAAGUUGGAAUCGCUAGUAAUCGCAGAUCAGCACGCUGCGGUGAAUACGUUCCCGGGCCUU